GGGGCAAGUAUGGACAAAACAUUCAAGCGGGAUACAGCUCUGAAUUUGGAUUGUGAUCAAAUUUUUGACAUAACAUGGUUUUUUUUUACACAAAACAAAUGUCAAGAUUUUACAAAUCAAUUAAAGAUUUCUUCUUCAAACUUUUUAAAUCUAAAAUUAAAUAGUUGAUCAUGACACAGCAUAGGUUUCUGACACAGAACGAAUGUG
rnacentral:lncRNA from 1 species